GAAAUCACAAGAGUCAUGCUUUAUGUUGGUGAAUGUGAUAACGUAAGGGAAAAAAAUGAUAUUACCUUACUAUUAGUGUUGUCCAAAACUGGUGCCAGAAGACUCGGUAAGGCCAGAGACGCAAACGUUAGUCGUCCUAAUCAGGCGUAAAGGGUGUGUAGGCUGCUUUAAAAGUUAUAAAUUUCAUUAAGCUCUUUUUACGUUUACAAAAUUUAUAAAUAUUCGUAGUAAGGUAAAGAUAUAAUUAAUUAAAGCUAGGAUCAAAACGAGGAUAAGCCAAAUAAUACUUAGAGUAGGGAUUAUAUCCGUAGAUACUAAGGGGAAUACUAAAGGUGAAAGCUUUUUAUCUAGUAAUGAUUGACGCUGAGAAACGAAGGUGAGAAUAGGAAAUAGGAUUAGAUACCCAGAUACCUCUCACUGUCAACGAUGAAUGGUGGUUGUUAGUUUUUAUUAAAACUGGUAACGAUGUUAACACGAUAACCAUUCCGCCUUGCGAGUACGGUUGCAAAACUGAAACCAAAAAAAUUAGUCGGUCU
rnacentral:rRNA from 1 species